UACGAAGGGGGCGAGCGUUGUUCGGAAUUACUGGGCGUAAAGGCGCGUAGGCGGCCGAUCAAGUCAGAUGUGAAAGUCCUGGGCUUAACCUGGGGACUGCAUUUGAUACUGAUUGGCUUGAAUUCGGGAGAGGAUAGCGGAAUUCCCGGUGUAGCGGUGAAAUGCGUAGAUAUCGGGAGGAACAUCAGUGGCGAAGGCGGCUACCUGGCCCAAUACUGACACUCAGGUGCGACAGCGGUGGGGAGCAAACAGG
rnacentral:rRNA from 1 species